rnacentral:rRNA from 1 species
GACGAACGCUGGCGGCGUGCCUAAUACAUGCAAGUUGAGCGCUGAAGGUUGGUACUUGUACCAACUGGAUGAGCAGCGAACGGGUGAGUAACGCGUGGGGAAUCUGCCUUUGAGCGGGGGACAACAUUUGGAAACGAAUGCUAAUACCGCAUAAAAACUUUAAACACAAGUUUUAAGUUUGAAAGAUGCAAUUGCAUCACUCAAAGAUGAUCCCGCGUUGUAUUAGCUAGUUGGUGAGGUAAAGGCUCACCAAGGCGAUGAUACAUAGCCGACCUGAGAGGGUGAUCGGCCACAUUGGGACUGAGACACGGCCCAAACUCCUACGGGAGGCAGCAGUAGGGAAUCUUCGGCAAUGGACGAAAGUCUGACCGAGCAACGCCGCGUGAGUGAAGAAGGUUUUCGGAUCGUAAAACUCUGUUGGUAGAGAAGAACGUUGGUGAGAGUGGAAAGCUCAUCAAGUGACGGUAACUACCCAGAAAGGGACGGCUAACUACGUGCCAGCAGCCGCGGUAAUACGUAGGUCCCGAGCGUUGUCCGGAUUUAUUGGGCGUAAAGCGAGCGCAGGUGGUUUAUUAAGUCUGGUGUAAAAGGCAGUGGCUCAACCAAUGUAUGCAUUGGAAACUGGUAGACUUGAGUGCAGGAGAGGAGAGUGGAAUUCCAUGUGUAGCGGUGAAAUGCGUAGAUAUAUGGAGGAACACCGGUGGCGAAAGCGGCUCUCUGGCCUGUAACUGACACUGAGGCUCGAAAGCGUGGGGAGCAAACAGGAUUAGAUACCCUGGUAGUCCACGCCGUAAACGAUGAGUGCUAGAUGUAGGGAGCUAUAAGUUCUCUGUAUCGCAGCUAACGCAAUAAGCACUCCGCCUGGGGAGUACGACCGCAAGGUUGAAACUCAAAGGAAUUGACGGGGGCCCGCACAAGCGGUGGAGCAUGUGGCUUAAUUCGAAGCAACGCGAAGAACCUUACCAGGUCUUGACAUACUCGUGCUAUUCCUAGAGAUAGGAAGUUCCUUCGGGACACGGGAUACAGGUGGUGCAUGGUUGUCGUCAGCUCGUGUCGUGAGAUGUUGGGUUAAGUCCCGCAACGAGCGCAACCCCUAUUGUUAGUUGCCAUCAUUAAGUUGGGCACUCUAACGAGACUGCCGGUGAUAAACCGGAGGAAGGUGGGGAUGACGUCAAAUCAUCAUGCCCCUUAUGACCUGGGCUACACACGUGCUACAAUGGAUGGUACAACGAGUCGCGAGACAGUGAUGUUUAGCUAAUCUCUUAAAACCAUUCUCAGUUCGGAUUGUAGGCUGCAACUCGCCUACAUGAAGUCGGAAUCGCUAGUAAUCGCGGAUCAGCACGCCGCGGUGAAUACGUUCCCGGGCCUUGUACACACCGCCCGUCACACCACGGGAGUUGGGAGUACCCGAAGUAGGUUGCCUAACCGCAAGGAGGGCGCUUCCUAAGGUAAGACCGAUGACNUGGGGUGAAGUCGUAACAAGGUAGCCGUAUCGGAAGG